rnacentral:rRNA from 1 species
UACGGAGGGUGCAAGCGUUAUCCGGAUUUACUGGGUUUAAAGGGUGCGCAGGUGGAUAUGUAAGUCAGUGGUGAAAUCUCCGAGCUUAACUCGGAAACUGCCGUUGAUACUAUAUAUCUUGAAUCUUCUGGAGGUAAGCGGAAUAUGUCAUGUAGCGGUGAAAUGCUUAGAUAUGACAUAGAACACCAAUUGCGAAGGCAGCUUACUACGGGAGCAUUGACACUCAGGCACGAAAGCGUGGGGAGCAAACAGG